rnacentral:rRNA from 1 species
CAGUCGCCACGGUAAUACGGAGGGGGCUAGCGUUGUUCGGAAUUACUGGGCGUAAAGCGCACGUAGGCGGCUUGGUAAGUUAGAGGUGAAAGCCCGGAGCUCAACUCCGGAAUUGCCUUUAAGACUGCCGAGCUAGUAGGUGAGAGAGGUAAGUGGAAUUCCGGGUGUAGAGGUGAAAUUCGUAGAUAUUCGGAAGAAUACCAGUGGCGAAGGCGGCUUACUGGCUCAUUCUAGACGCUGAGGUGCGAAAGCGUGGGGAGCAAACAGGAUUAGAUACCCGUGUAGUCCCUGUCUCUUAUAC